rfam:Thielavia terrestris NRRL 8126 chromosome 1, complete sequence.
GGCGGAAUGGCGCAAUGGUAGCGUGUGGUCCUCCUACUGGGAGAGCUAAGACUGAGGUUGUGGGUUCGAGUCCCAUUUCCGUCG